AGCGAACGCUGGCGGCAGGCCUAACACAUGCAAGUCGAGCGCCCUGCAAGGGGAGCGGCAGACGGGAGAGUAACACGUGGGAACGUACCCUUUGGUCCGGAACAACCCAGGGAAGCUUGGGCUAAUACCGGAUAAGCCCUUACGGGGAAAGAUUUAUCGCCGAAGGAUCGGCCCGCGUCUGAUUAGCUAGUUGGUGGGGUAACGGCCCACCAAGGCGACGAUCAGUAGCUGGUCUGAGAGGAUGAUCAGCCUCACUGGGACUGAGGCACGGCCCAGACUCCUACGGGAGGGAGCAGUGGGGAAUAUUGGACAAUGGGCGCAAGCCUGAUCCAGCCAUGCCGCGUGGGUGAUGAAGGCCCUAGGGUUGUAAAGCCCUUUCGGCGGGGAAGAUAAUGACGGUACCCGCAGAAGAAGCCCCGGCUAACUUCGUGCCAGCAGCCGCGGUAACAC
rnacentral:rRNA from 1 species